UGUGACGGACAGUAGCUGAAAAAGUGCACAGGGAUGGGAUUCUUGUUUACUUUUCUUCUUUCUUCUCACUAUCACCAGAAAAAUACCCAUAAUCAAAUCACCAGAAACCCUAGCUGAUUAACUUCUUUUUCUUAGGGGUUUCUCUAGUUUUCUUGUACUUGCUAAAGGGUUUCAUUUUUUUUCUUCGAUGAUUUUGUCUUUCAAGAAAAAAAGAGGGAUAAGUUAGGGUUUCUCUUACUCAAAGGUACGAUUUUUUUUUUUGGUUAAUUAGGCUUGUUUGAGCUGAGAGAUUAGGGUUUUUUGAGAAGGAAAGUCUGGGUUUUGAAAGAAUUUCUGUUUGAGUUAUGGAUCGGGGAGAAAUGAAUGAUGCAGAAGAGGAAGCUAGGUAUCCUUAUGAUGAGCAGGAGGGUGAUGAAUAUGAAGAAGGUGGUGAUGAUGGUGAAGAAGAAGUAGAAGAGGAAGAUGAGGGUGAGGAAGUGGAGGUUGUGGGGGAGGAGGAGGAAGAAGAAGAAAAUGUUGUUCAAAGGGUAAAGGAAGAAGUUGAGGAAGUAGAUGAACAAGAGCAACUGCAACAAGAUCAUGCUGGUGGUGAUGAUGAUGAUUACGAGGAGGAGGAUGAGGAUGACACUGAUGACGACGACGAGGAUGAUAAUGUUGAUGGAGGUGGUAAUGAUAAUGGGAUGGAUGACGAUGAGGAUUCAGAAAGGAAUGGUAAAAAGCGAAAAUUGAAGGAUUUGUCAUUAAGCUAUGAGUUUGCUCCGCGUGUAGUAGUACCGCAGCCAUCUGCAAUUGCAAUGUCUGUUCCAAAAUCUUCGUAUGGUGGCCGGAAGAAUGCUGCAGCUGAUUGGACUGAACAUGCAACAUUUGUUCUGUUAGAUACUUGGGGAGAUAAAUUUCUUCAGCUUGGAAGGAAAAGUCUUCGGCUAGAUGAAUGGAUUGAAGUGGCUAAGAAGGUUUCAUUGCUAUCGAAUGUUGUAAGAACUGAUACUCAAUGUCGCAACCGGUUGGAUACAUUGAAGAAGAAAUACAAGAAGGAAAAACUCAAGAUAGAGGAAACUGGCAAUAAUAAUAGUUCCUGUAAGUGGGUUUACUUUAAGAAGAUGGAUAUGUUGAUGAAUGUAUCUCCAAGGCAGCCUGGAUUAGCUUGUGGCAUGGAUUCUCGUGAGUACGUGUUUACGAAUCCUAGGGUUUAUUUGAAUCACUCGAAUGGAUUGGAUGAGAUGAGGGACAGUCCAGGGAACUCUGAAUCAACAGAAGCCGAUGAUGAUAAUUCGGAUGGCCUUCCUCCUAAAAAAGCAAGAUAUGUGGAGAAUGGCGUUGAGAGAUCUUCCUUUAGGUUGCUAGCAGAUUCUAUUAAGAAAUUUGGUGAUAUUCACGCAAAAAUUGAGAAUAGUAAGAGGCAGCAAAUGUUAGAAUUGGAGAAGAUGAGAAUGGAGUUUCAUAGAGAUUUAGAAUUGCAUAGGAGGAAAAUUUUGGAGCGAGCCCAAGCAGAGAUAGCAAAAAUGAGGGAUGAAGAUGACGAGGAGUUUGGUGGAAGCGCUUCCACCGGGGAUAUGAGCGACUGAUAUUGUCUUUAUUUUUUGAGCUCAUGUUUGCUUCUACUGAUCAUAUAAACAAGAGGACUGUAGGACAAUAUGCGGAAGAAAUCACUUUGUUGCAGAGAUGCUUUGGCAACAAUCUUAAGUUUACUGUACUAUGUAUUCAUUAUCGAAGUCCUAGUACUAGUAAAUUAUCAACAUGUUGUAGUAAAAGUUGAAGUUUGGGAGCCUCCCUGACGUUUUCUCUGUCUGCAUUGUUCUUUAUUUGAAUUCAUUUUCCAUGUAGUGCUACCUGCCGUUACCCCUUC